UUUCUGUUUCUUCCUCUACCUACUCCAUCUUCACUGGAAGGCAUCAAAAGAGAUACAGGGCUGAAGAUGAUACCUUUGAGGUUGGCAGCUAUUUGAGCACAUCUCCCUAAAGCCCAGUUCCUUAACUACUAAAGGCUGGCAUUAUAGCAACCCACCUGCUCAUAGAAGAGAGAAAAAAAUUCAGAAUCACUCAACCUGGAGAUUGCUGUCAGCUUGUGAUUAUGUGAAUGGAACAGAAGUUAACAGAGUUGAGCAGUUUUGCCAUGGGUCCCAUUUCUCGGCAUCCUACUUCAGACAAAUACAUAUCUCCGCUCAUGACUCCAGGGAUCUAAUCUCAGAAUUAUCUGUAUGCAAAGAAAGGUGAAAUCACACUUGGAUCUAUAAUGGUAAAGUAAAAAGAAAGGGCAGUGCUAUGGAAAUCUUUGAAUGACUUCUCGCGGAUAGUGUCUGGGCCAGCACACAUGGGUUGGUGGCCGCCAAACUGCAGGAUGGGCUGCCGCUGCAGAAUCCAGAGGAGACGGCAGUCACAGGCUAGUGGGUUGUUAUUAAUGCUCAGGACCUCCAAAGCCCUAGGAGAGGAGAAGACAUUCUCUUCCAAAGUUUCCAGUAGGUUCUGAGACACAUUGAGCACGCGAAGAAAGUGGAGCCCUUGGAAGGAGUGAGGCUCAAUGGUACGGAGCUGGGCCCCUACUAUAUGGAGCUCCUGAAGGCGAAUCAGGUCAGAGAACAUGCCUGCUUCAAUAGUGCUGAUGGGAUUGUAGGAGAGGUUAAGGUGGGUCAGGUAUACCAAGUGCUUAAAGGCAAGGAAGGGAACAGUG